rnacentral:rRNA from 1 species
GCGAAAGCCUGAUGCAGCAACGCCGCGUGAGCGAUGAAGGCCUUCGGGUUGUAAAGCUCUGUCUUCGCUGACGAAGAAUGACGGUAAGCGAGGAGGAAGCCACGGCUAACUACGUGCCAGCAGCCGCGGUAAUACGUAGGUGGCAAGCGUUGUCCGGAAUUACUGGGCGUAAAGAAUGCGUAGGCGGCUUUUUAAGUGGGAUGUGAAAUCCCUGGGCUCAACCCAGGAACUGCAUUCCAAACUGGAAAGCUAGAGUGCGGGAGAGGAAAUUGGUAUUCCCAGUGUAGCGGUGAAAUGCGUAGAGAUUGGGAGGAACACCAGUAGCGAAGGCGAAUUUCUGGAACGUAACUGACGCUGAGGCAUGAAAGCGUGGGGAGCAAACAGGAUUAGACACCCUGGUAGUCCACGCCGUAAACGAUGAGUACUAGGUGUAGGGGGGUACCACCCCCUGUGCCGCAGUUAACACAUUAAGUACUCCGCCUGGGAAG